rnacentral:rRNA from 1 species
UGAGUACGAGAUGCUACGGCAUCGAAGCAGUCUAUGUCAUACUUCCAAGAAAAGCUUGCACUGUCAUAAACAAAGAAUGCCUGUACCAUAACCGACACAGGUGGGUAGGUAGAGUAUACUAAGGGGCGCGAGAUAACUCUCUCUAAGGAACUCGGCAAAAUGACUCCGUAACUUCGGGAGAAGGAGUGCCUUAUUUCUAAGGUUGCAAUAACAAGAUCCAAGCAACUGUUUACCAAAAACACAGGUCUCCGCUAAGUCGUAAGACGAUGUAUGGGGGCUGACGCCUGCCCAGUGCCAGAAGGUUAAAGAAGUUGGUUAGCAUUAGCGAAGCUGAUAACUGAAGCCCUGGUGAACGGCGGCCGUAACUAUAACGGUCCUAAGGUAGCGAAAUUCCUUGUCGGGUAAGUUCCGACCCGCACGAAAGGCGUAAUGAUUUGGAUACUGUCUCGGAGAGGGGCUCGGUGAAAUAGACUUGUCUGUGAAGAUGCGGACUACCUGCACCUGGACAGAAAGACCCUAUGAAGCUUUACUGUAACUUGAGAUUGAAAUUGGACUUUAUUUGCGCAGUAUAGGUGGCAGGCGUUGAGAAUAAUCUUGCGGGAUUGUUGGAGCCAUCAGUGAGAUACCACUCUUGUAAUGUUAGAUUUCUAACUUUGUAUCAUUAUCUGGUCAAAGAACAGUUUCAGGCGGGCAGUUUGACUGGGGCGGUCGCCUCCCAAAGGGUAACGGAGGCGCACAAAGGUUUCCUCUGAACGGGUAGAAAUCGUAUCUAGAGUGUAAAGGCAUAAGGAAGCUUGACUGUGAGACCUACAAGUCGAGCAGGGACGAAAGUCGGUCUUAGUGAUCUGACGGUGCUGAGUGGAAAGGCCGUCACUCAACGGAUAAAAGUUACUCUAGGAUAACAGGCUGAUCUCCCCCAAGAGUUCACAUCGACGGGGAGGUUUGGCACCUCGAUGUCGGCUCAUCGCAUCCUGGGGCGGUAGUCCGUCCCAAGGGUUGGGCUGUUCGCCCAUGAAAGCGGUACGCGAGCUGGGUUCAGAACGUCGUGAGACAGUUCGGUCCAUAUCCGGUGUAGGCGUUAGAAUAUUGAGAGGAGCCUUCUCUAGUACGAGAGGACCGAGAAGGACAUACCUCUGGUGUACCAGUUAUCGUGCCAACGGUAAACGCUGGGUAGCUAUGUAUGGAGUGGAUAACCGCUGAAAGCAUCUAAGUGGGAAGCCCACCUCAAGAUAAGUAUUCUCAC